AUAGGUGUAUCAGUAACCACAAUUUUGACGAUUCUUUAUCUUCCAGUAGUCUCUUGUGAAUAAACUCUCUUCCUGUUCUCUUCCCAUUUUUGUCUCUCUCAUGACCUGUUUAUUUUUCCCUUUUUUUUUCGUGCUGUAACCUUUCUUCAUAGAAGGCUCUUUCUUGAUUUACAUAUAUCUCUUGAAGUCCGUCUUGAAUGUAUUGUUGAUAUUUCAGUGGUGAACAAGUUUUAUCUACAUGUUUCAUCCAAGGUUUCCCCUGUCUGAUUGCCUUUUUGUUUUAGGCAGACAAAGAAGACUCUUUUUGUAGCGAUUUUAUUUUUCCUCUAAACUGAGAAUGAGAAGAAUUAACAUUCUAAAUUCUUUUUUUUUUUAAAUAAGGCCACUAGUCUUUUCACCCCCUAGUGGCUAUUUUAUUAAUAACAAAUAAACAAAACAAUGUCUAAAGCAAAGUAAAGUACAUUGUUGAGCUAAGAAACGAAAACUUAGAAAUGAGAGGCCCAGAUGAAAUCGUUAGUUCGGCCCUUUGUCUUCCUUGCCGAUGCCAUCGCCAGAGCUACUGCAUCUACUCCAUCGAUCUAUGGCUUCUGUGCUUGCUUUAGUAUCUGAGGCUUUUGUGGCUUUUCACUUGCUGUUUCAACCCUAAUCUUGGCAGAUUCAACAUGCUCAUGUUUGCUUUCAUUGACUUGAUCAUCCUUCACAUUUGCAAGUGCUUCAAAAUGGUUUUUAUGCUGCACCUCUUUUCCCUUGUCCACCCCUCUAUCACUAUCAGUGUUAUGCCUUUGCUCAGCAACGUUGUUCUUCUUUUUCUUAUUGGUCACGACAUUCCAUUCCUUGUUAACAUUGUUCCCAUUUGCCUCUCAUGCGAUAAGCCUUGGUGCAACAACUUCCUCUUGCUUUGGUUCCUCUUUUUUAGGUCUAAAUUCAGCAUGCACCACCCAAUAUCCUUGCAGAUCAUGCCCUUGUAAUUUACAAUUAGUGCAAUACUUAGGGAUAUAGUCAUAUUGUAUUCUCUGACAUAUGGACUGUAUCUCCCCAUUCUCCUCAUCCACGCAACUAAUAUGUAUUCUUUUUGGUAGUUCUUUGAGUAGAUCAACUUACACUUUCACACGAGCACAACUUGGUCUUGUCCGAUUGAUUGUAGCUUUGUCGAUGAACAAAGGGAUGCUUACUGCUUGUGCCAUUGAAAACAUUGAUUCCUUGUCAAAAAGG